AACGCAUUAAGUGCUCCGCCUGGGGAGUACGCACGCAAGUGUGAAACUCAAAGGAAUUGACGGGGACCCGCACAAGCAGCGGAGCAUGUGGUUUAAUUCGAAGCAACGCGAAGAACCUUACCAGGGCUUGACAUCCCUCUGACCGGGUGGUAACGCACCCUUUCCUUCGGGACAGAGGAGACAGGUGGUGCAUGGUUGUCGUCAGCUCGUGUCGUGAGAUGUUGGGUUAAGUCCCGCAACGAGCGCAACCCUUGUCAUUAGUUGCCAGCAUGAAAGAUGGGCACUCUAGUGAGACUGCCGGGGAUAACUCGGAGGAAGGUGGGGAUGACGUCAAAUCAUCAUGCCCCUUAUGUUCUGGGCUACACACGUGCUACAAUGGCUGGUACAAAGAGACGCAAGACCGCGAGGUGGAGCAAAUCUCAAAAACCAGUCCCA
rnacentral:rRNA from 1 species